UAGCACCCAAACCGCCAUGCAAACCACGAAGGCAGGCAUGUCUAUCGAAGCUACUGCUUGGCAGGAAACUGUGAGUAGAAAACCGCAUGAAUAUUUGUGAGCGACAGCCUUCCUUUACCGAAGCGCUGCCAUUUUGCAACACGGAAAGCAUUGGUGUCAGAUCGAGCAGCACUCUUGAGAACGGCGAGCGCAGAACGCAUCGGACAGGUAAUUGGGUGCUUGCUGACAGUACUGCCGAGACGGACCAGUGGCUAUGCUGCCGCUACGACGGCGCACUGUGUGACACAGAAGACGUCGAUUCCGUUCAGCUGCCAGCGGAUUUUGAACUCUGUCUUCUCCAAUGACUUCGAUCUGCAACUCCUGCACAAACCAACAUCGAAGCAGGAAGCUCUGUAAUUAUGAUGGGCACAAUGUUCAAACGAAUACAAAUUGGGGAGCACACAUGAUAGGUAAUUAACCUAAUUUUUUUUUUACCUUUGCAAGGUAUCCCAGAGUCUCGGGAAAGGGCAAAGAAGCGUUCGUUCAUUUCUUGCGUUCAACUGUUCUGUUCAUUUGUCUUUUCCCAAAGACUCAGAGAUAUGUUGCCAAUAUCAACUAUACAUCAACUCACUGUCAUAUUACACACAUAUCCAGUCUUAUUUUCUGAUUUGUCAUUCAUAAUAGUGUUCUGCUUGUAUAAACAUCUUUCU